GAUAAACGCUGGCGGCGUGCCUAAAACAUGCAAGUCGAACGGGGGUAGUCCUUCGGGACUACUCAGUGGCGAACGGCUGAGGAACGCGUGGGUGACCUACGGUGGGGUGGGGAGUAGCCCUCCGAAAGAGGGGUAAGGACCGCAUGCGCUCGGGAGAGCAAAACUACGCAAGAGUGCCCGACUCAGGGGCCCGCGUCCGAUUAGCUAGUUGGAGGGGUAAGGAGCCCACCAAGGCGACGAUCGGUAGCUGGUCNGAGAGGAUGAUCAGCCAGACUGGGACUGGGAACGGCCC
rnacentral:rRNA from 1 species